UUAAAUUGAAGAGUUUGAUCAUGGCUCAGAUUGAACGCUGGCGGCAGGCCUAACACAUGCAAGUCGAACGGUAACAGAAAGCAGCUUGCUGCUUUGCUGACGAGUGGCGGACGGGUG
rnacentral:rRNA from 1 species